AUAUAUAUGCGGGAGGCUUUAAAUAACCGCAAUUAACUUGGCUUUCUAAACUUAUUACAAAUGCGCUUUCGAUUCGCUUUAAAACGCAACGUCCUAAGUAUACACAAUAGCAGAAGAAAAAAAUCGAUUCCCUUAGCAACUCGAAAAUUCCGCACUAUAGAUAUAGGCUCCAAAACCAUAUAAACAGCCUCCGCGCGGAUUCCUUUGUUUGCAAACAGUGUGCUUCAUCUCGAAGUGCGACCCGUCAUUCGAAAACUAACUAAGUAGCUCUCUUCUAUCGGUUCGCAGAAACUCGGGCCAAGCACCAUUCGCACUAAUGCGGAAAAGUCUCGUUAUAACUAUAGAGUAUAGAACUCAUCAGAUGCAAAAGGAAAAAAAUCAUUCGGCGGAGAUGCACGCACAUCUCUCCAUUGUUUCCAUAACCUCAAACCAGAACAGCAGGCAGCAGCACACAACAGAGUUGGAAAAUCCUCGAGGUAGGUCGUCGGUUCCCAGGGGGGAAACUUCGGCUUGACGAAGGAGUCGUCGAGGACCUCCUCCAUGGCUUGCGAGGGAGAGUUGGCGACGUAUAAGAAGAUAAAGUAUAGGUGUGCGGAAAAGAAAAGACUAUGCACUGCACUGCACACGGACAGACGCGCCCUUCCCCGAAAAAGUGUAGCGCCACGCACUACUGCUGCACACAGCCGAUUACACUCGUCGCGAUAAAGUGGAGUAAAAGAAGCUGCUGCGGUCGAGUGGCCGCCGGCGGAGGUCUUCAGACAUCCUCUACACUGUGAUACGCUCUGGGAGAGAAGCUGAAGCUGUGUGCGUAGAUAAAAACGCAUAACCCACCUGCUUGAUUGCGUCCUCGUGAAACUGCGCAAGAAGAGUGGCAUCGGAGGAGUUAUCAAUGAGGUCGUGCUCGGCGGAAUCGGCAACAACUGCAGCGAC